rnacentral:rRNA from 1 species
CCCCAGUAACGGCGAGUGAAGCGGCAACAGCUCAAAUUUGAAAUCUGGCCUCGCGGUCCGAGUUGUAAUUUGUAGAGGGUGCCUCGGGUGCGAUUCCGGUCUAAGUUCCUUGGAACAGGGCGUCAUAGAGGGUGAGAAUCCCGUACGUGACCGGCCGUCAACCCCAUGUGAGGCCCCUUCGACGAGUCGAGUUGUUUGGGAAUGCAGCUCAAAAUGGGUGGUAAAUUUCAUCUAAAGCUAAAUACCGGCCAGAGACCGAUAGCGCACAAGUAGAGUGAUCGAAAGAUGAAAAGCACUUUGGAAAGAGAGUUAAAAAGUAUGUGAAAUUGUUGAAAGGGAAGCGCUCGCAGCCAGACUCGUCCGCGGAUGAUCAACCGCCCCUCGGGGCGGUGCACUCUUCCGCGGCCGGGCCAGCAUCGGUUUCGGCGGCCGGACAAAGGCCCAGGGAAUGUGGCUCCUCUCGGGGAGUGUUAUAGCCCGGGGCGUCAUGCGGCCAGCCGGGACCGAGGACCGCGCUUUUUGCUAGGAUGCUGGCGUAAUGGCUGUCAGC